AUUUAACGCUGUCUGCAGUCCUAACACAUGCAAGUCGAACGAGUGGCGGACGGGUGAGUAAUGUCUGGGAAACUGCCCGAUGGAGGGGGAUAACUACUUUAAACGGUAGCUAAUACCUCAUACCAUCGUAUUUACCCAGAUGGGCUUAGCUUGUAUGUGAGGUAACGGCUCACCUAGGCGACUAUCCCUAGCUGGUCUGAGAGGAUGACCAGCCACACUGGAACUGAGACACGGUCCAGAUUCCUACGGUAGGCAGCAGUGGGGAAUAUUGCACAAUGGGCGCAAGCCUGAUGCAGCCAUGCCGCGUGUAUGAAGAAGGCCUUCGGGUUGUAAAGUACGGUCAGCGGGGAGGCGUUACCCGCAGAAGAAGCACCGGCUAACUCCGUGCCAGCAGCCGCGGUAAUUC
rnacentral:rRNA from 1 species